rnacentral:tRNA from 1 species
GGCCGAGAUGGUCGAGCGCGACGUGCUGCUCCCGGCGGUGCGGGAGCUGGCCCGGCGCGGCCGCCCGUUCCGCGGCGCGCUCUACGCCG